rnacentral:lncRNA from 1 species
GAGCUAAUUCUUCCAGAUGACGAGUCUCUCCUCCCCGCCCCCACUUUCCUGGGCGCCGGGACCUCCGCCCUCUCCUGCGGAGUCUCAGGCUAGAUUUCUUCCGGGAAGGAGGCGGCGGAGGGCGGGGGUGUCCUUCAUAGUCCCAAGUCUGAGGGUCGGGGCCUCUCUUGCUCGGUUCCCGGGAUGGACACCGCGGAGCUUGGCCAGGCAGGGAAACUGAGGCUCCGAGAGGAAAGGGGGAGGGCACUGCAAGCUUGAACAGAGCUAUGGAAAGAACCCAGGCUUCCCGGAAUCUCCGAGCUGGAAGGGACCUCACCAGGGACCAGCCCCUCCGGCCUCUCUAAUGGAAUUGUAAUUCCCUCUUCAGCAUAUUUGGAAAGAAGCGCGCCGGUCGGCUUCGUUUGAGUCCUGGAGGGCUGGAUGCGGCCAACUCCUCCGGGACGGGCUCGCAGAGGGUCCAAGAUCUGGAGCUGGAAGGCCCGUUACUCAGCACGUCAAUGAGUCAUCCCAUUUUACAGAUCCGUAAACUGAGGCCCGGAGAAGUUCCGGAGCGUGUCAGCACGGGGAUCUAGUUUCCCCAGCUUGACAAAGAGCUCCCUCUUGGGAGUGGGGGAUGGAGGACAAGAGGAGGCUACUGCGAUGCUCGAUCCUUUGGAGAAGGAACAGGAAAUAUUAACCCUAGAAAAGCUGAGACUCCUCUGUUUCUUGAAUGCCAGUCUUCGAAGGGCCAUCCCGGGCAAAGGCCAGCAGACUCAGUCAUUCAGAGAACUCGGCUUUGGCCCCGAGGGUGUGGAAGGGAGGAGGCUCCUUGAGACGUACCAGGGCACUAGGGGACACUCGAAUGACUUCUACCUAGGUUAUAGUCACUGUCCUUUUUUCAGUCUUGUCUGGCUCUGCAGUGACCCCAUUUGGACUUUUCUUGGAAGAGAAACUGGGGCAAUGGAAAGUUCUGUGGUGAUCCAGGAAGACUCACUGGAGGAGGAGGUGACAGAAGCUCUGGAACCAGAAGGAAAAGAAGGAUCUGUGAGAACUGGGUAGAGGUAUGAGAAAAGGGAGAUAGCCUGAGUAAAUCCUGAAAGAGGACCAAAAUGACAUUGAUUAGUUGGGAUCAAUGAGGCAAAAGGAGAUAGUUCACUUGGUAUGGGAGAAAGAAUGCUGUUUCAGGAGUCAGGAGCCCCGAAUUCAAAUUUUACUUCUUUAACUUACUCUUCCUAUAACCUUUGCACCUCAACUUCCUAACCUUGUAUUUAGAGUAUCUACUUUUUUGGAUCAACGUGUUUCCUCAGAAAGCUCCUUGAGGUCAUAAUCAAGACAUGCUAGUUGAUUGGUUGGCUUUGAAGGUCUUUACCAGGUUCAAAUCUCUGAUCCUGAAUCUGUGUUCCUAAUAUUGGUGGCACAAUGGAUAGUGCACUGGGCUUGGAGUCAGGAGGACCCAAGUUCAAAUU